GAUGAAGAACGUAGCGAAAUGCGAUAAGUAAUGUGAAUUGCAGAAUUCAGUGAAUCAUCGAAUCUUUGAACGCACCUUGCGCUCCUUGGUAUUCCGAGGAGCAUGCCUGUUUGAGUGUCAUUAAAUUCUCAACCUCAUCAGUUUUGUUAUGAAGCUGUGUGAGGCUUGGAUGUGGGGGUUUGUGCAGGCUGUCUCAGUGCGGUCUGCUCCCCUGAAAUGUAUUAGCGAGUUCCAACUGGGCUCCGUCUAUUGGUGUGAUAAUUAUCUACGCCGUGGAUUGGGCUUAGACUUGCUUCUAACCGUCCGCAAGGACAAUCUUUUGACAAUUUGACCUCAAAUCAGGUAGGACUACCCGCUGAACUUAAGCAUAUCAAUAAGCGGAGGA
rnacentral:misc_RNA from 1 species